rnacentral:rRNA from 1 species
GACGAACGCUGGCGGCGUGCCUAAUACAUGCAAGUUGAGCGCUGAAGGUUGGUACUUGUACCAACUGGAUGAGCAGCGAACGGGUGAGUAACGCGUGGGGAAUCUGCCUUUGAGCGGGGGACAACAUUUGGAAACGAAUGCUAAUACCGCAUAAAAACUUUAAACACAAGUUUUAAGUUUGAAAGAUGCAAUUGCAUCACUCAAAGAUGAUCCCGCGUUGUAUUAGCUAGUUGGUGAGGUAAAGGCUCACCAAGGCGAUGAUACAUAGCCGACCUGAGAGGGUGAUCGGCCACAUUGGGACUGAGACACGGCCCAAACUCCUACGGGAGGCAGCAGUAGGGAAUCUUCGGCAAUGGACGAAAGUCUGACCGAGCAAACGCCGCGUGAGUGAAAGAAAGGUUUUUCG